rnacentral:rRNA from 1 species
GACGAACGCUGGCGGCGUGCUUAACACAUGCAAGUCGAACGGUAAGGCCCUUCGGGGUACACGAGUGGCGAACGGGUGAGUAACACGUGGGUGAUCUGCCCUGCACUUCGGGAUAAGCCUGGGAAACUGGGUCUAAUACCGGAUAGGACUCCUGGCUUCAUGGUUGGGGGUGGAAAGCUUUUGCGGUGUGGGAUGGGCCCGCGGCCUAUCAGCUUGUUGGUGGGGUAAUGGCCUACCAAGGCGACGACGGGUAGCCGGCCUGAGAUGGUGACCGGUCACACUGGGACUGAGAUACGGCCCAGACUCCUACGGGAGGCAGCAGUGGGGAAUAUUGCACAAUGGGCGCAAGCCUGAUGCAGCGACGCCGCGUGAGGGAUGACGGCCUUCGGGUUGUAAACCUCUUUCAGCUAUGACGAAGCGCAAGUGACGGUAGUAGCAGAAGAAGGACCGGCCAACUACGUGCCAGCAGCCGCGGUAA